CUUGCAUAAUAAAUUCCCAAGUUUGUGAAUUUCUGAUUUUAGACCGCUGAUAAAUUGAUAAAGCUUUCAUUUCGAUACAGAAUCUCGUCUCGGAAUUAAUAAAUGCUUGGCAUAUGUCAACGCAACAGAAUGACUGAAACAGGCGGCGACGACAGUGGCGGCAGCGAAGAAAAUGAUGAGAGUCGCUUGCAACGCGUCUGGUCCGGCAUGGCAAAAUCCACAAGAAGCGAACUUAUCCUAGCUGAUCAAGUGCCCCAGAAAGAGAAAGUUGUUGAAAUAUAAGUGUAAUGGAUGGGCCAGGCGGAAUCGCAGCUAACAUUCCAGGUUACGGAUCGCUAUGCUACUUGAAAAUUUAAAACUUGAAACAACCAUCUUACGAAAAUAAUUUUGUUAUCAUUUUUUGACUUAAUUAUGAUACUUAAGUGGAUAUUGUUUUGUAAAUUAAAAUAUGUACGAUUAUACACGCAUUAUGACACAAUAUUCAUUUAUUAUAUAGUCUGCAUGUCACUGUCAGAACAAACAUAUCUUGCAAUAAUUUUACGAAACUUGGGUUAAAUAAUCUACAUAAUAUAUGGAGAGGUCAAUAUUUUACAAAGUCUGAAAUGUAAAUGAAGAGUUGCUAUAAUUUUCUCUAAGGCAUGUAAUUCUGGAGCCUAAUUAAACAAAAAUUGAUCAAUAUAUUUCCGCUCCUUGUUUUUCUUAAAUUUUUCAAAGCUGUUUUGAUGAUUUACAGUGUGUGAGUGGGGGUGGGGAUAGAUUUGGAGAGGGAGGUAGUUUCUUGUACUGGUACACCUGUGCAACUCUCUCAGAAUUACUGCCAUUAUAUGCUACUCUGUCGUACUUGUCCGCGUAUUCUGUUUGUCUUUAUUGUACACUUAUUAAAUGGUUUAUCGGUCAAUAGUAAAAGUCACUGCCCAAAAAUGGUCAAUAGUUUAUACUUUUUACCGGUAAACUAUUCAGUAAGUGUUUUAUAACACGACACCAGAAAUAAAUUUCAAUUAGAUAUAGAACAAAUUUGUUAUAGUUUUAUAAUUUCAAGUUUUCACCCUAGCCCAACAGAAAAUAUAGAGUUGAACUUAAGUUCUUUAUUCUAAAUUGUUUCAAUGAUAAAAAGCUUCCAAUAAUUCAAGUAUUGAAUGAAGUUGUGCCCUUAUAUCUUGGGAAUGUUGUACAGAAUGUAUAUAUAUAAGCAACGUUGUACCAUGAUGAGGCUUAAAGGCACUGACCUAAUGAUCGUACGACAAAAAAACAAAAAAAACUAUUUAGAUAUCAGGAAAUUAUUGCUAUAUUUCUUCAGAAGGAUUUGGUACUUUGUUAAUGACAGAUGGUAUGUUAUGGAAACAAAUGAAAAUUGGUUGUUAUUAUUAUUUUUUCCAUUCAAAACUGAAAAGCGUCUGUAUCGGCUACCGGUGCUAAACCGCCUCUAUAUUUAGCGGUCGUAAAGUACAAAUACUACCAUGGUGUAUUGGUCAAGAAAUUGCCUUUCGAUUCCCGACUCGGACAUUUUUUUUCUUGAUUUCUCAUCUUUUAAUAGUCUGGAAACAAAAACUUAUGUUCGAAUGUUCAGAACAUAGAAAUAUUAUUUUAGGCCAAACUUCCAAUGGUCCUGACUUGUGUAUUGGCCCUUAUCGCCAAUACGCAGACCUUAUGAUCUCCAUAGGCCACAUACCAGGCAUACCAGAAUCAGUGUCUUUAAAUAAAUAAAUAAAUAAGAUAGAUUCUAUACUUCUUUGAUUUAUGCCUUAUGGAUUGUUUGGCCGUUACAGUUUUGCAUCAGUUUUAAGAUCGGUCUUGUAUUGUAUACUAGAAGAUACAAGUUAAAAACAGAGAUAAAAAAUUUACCACAUUUUUACUUUCUUUGUCUAAAUAUGCAAUUUCUAUACAACAAAUUUAAAAAUAGAAUUGUCAGUUCGUUCAUGUAUACAUAUAUAUAAUGUAACAUCAUAUAUUUGUAUGUAUAAAAUUAUUUUCCUUGUAAUUUCUUUGUAUUUCAAUAAUUUUUAUUUAUUUAUUAUUCAUUUUUUUCUUUAUUUCGUAUGUAACAAAAAACUGAAUAUGAUAAAAUCCGAUAUUUAGAUCCUUGUUAUUUCAAGUUAUGUUAAACCCAGAUUUCAUAUUUGAAAACUUGAUAUGAACACUCACUUUAUAUAACUUACUUAAUAUCUGACAGUUUUUUUUAUCUAGAUACUGUUACUAAAUGACACUUAGUUAAUAAAUUAUGAGUGUAGCUAUGAGACAGAAUUAAUAUAUAUAUAUAUAUAUAUAUUUAGUAAAGUUAAAUACAUUUGAUGUUUUGUACGCUGUCCGCUAUUGUAUUUGUGUCAAAUGUAUGUCAUCAUGGGCUUCUUAGCCUAUUUGAUUUGAAAUAAAAAUGUCUGUCUGUC
rnacentral:lncRNA from 1 species